AUCCGGGAUUUUCUGCUUGCUCGUUUCGCUUCCCAGAAGUGAACGGGCAGAGACGAAGAAGCAACGUUAAUGUCUUUACUUUCGAUAAACGUGUUUCGAUGUAACGACAAAUUCAGACGUAUGUCCUACGACUUUCUCAAAAAUACAGGCGUUACCACAACGUGGAGUGAGGCAUAGUAAAUCACGGGACUAUGUAGGAAAACCGUGGAACCCGUGAAAGCUCGAAACGCGGAAUUUAUAGACACCUUCAAAAGAGCUUUCGUCCGUCACAACAAACAUGUCCCGGCAAUCCAGCAUGGUCAUUCAUCAUUCAGCCUCGCCACACUGGAACUGCGGCUCGUCUAUCAACGAUUUUGAAUCGUUCCAUUCGCCUGUAUUAAUUUCAAUUCGUGAGAAAUAAACUUAUUCUUGAAAAUAUCUAAA